AUUAUUAAUUAUUAUCAGUUAUGAUGAUUCUCUUCUUAUAGGAUAUUUAUUAUAUCUGGUUAAGUUUAAUGCUUGCUGUCCUAUAAAAGUAAUAAUUGGGAUAUAUCUGUGAGUGAUCUGUAUACAUAUCAAGUGAUGGGAGCACUGUUUGUACCAGGUCUGAUUACUGUAGUUAAUGUUGCUAAUUUAGCUCUAAAAGCUCAAUAAACACAGUGAAUCCACAUUGACACGUUGUAUGUAAUGGUACAUUGUAUCUCUGUAUAUAGCUAUCCUUG